rnacentral:rRNA from 1 species
UACGUAGGGGGCGAGCGUUGUCCGGAUUCAUUGGGCGUAAAGCGCGCGUAGGCGGCUUCGCAAGUCGGCCGUGAAAUCUCCCGGCUCAACUGGGAGGGGUCGGGCGAGACUGCGAGGCUCGAGGUGGGCAGAGGGCAGUGGAAUUCUCGGUGUAGCGGUGAAAUGCGUAGAUAUCGAGAGGAACACCUGCGGCGAAGGCGGGUUGCUGGGCUGACACUGACGCUGAAGCGCGAAAGCUAGGGGAGCGAACGGG